AGGGGUGUAGUUAAUCAUAACAUUUGGGUUGCAUCCAAAAAGUAUUGAGUAUAUCAAUCACCCUUA
rnacentral:tRNA from 1 species